rnacentral:rRNA from 1 species
UUUUGACGCNNGCGGCGUNUUAAACAUGCAAGUCGAACGGUGAACACGGAGCUUGCUCUGUGGGAUCAGUGGCGAACGGGUGAGUAACACGUGAGCAACCUGCCCCUGACUCUGGGAUAAGCGCUGGAAACGGCGUCUAAUACUGGAUACGAGUAGCGACCGCAUGGUCAGUUACUGGAAAGAUUUAUUGGUUGGGGAUGGGCUCGCGGCCUAUCAGCUUGUUGGUGAGGUAAUGGCUCACCAAGGCGUCGACGGGUAGCCGGCCUGAGAGGGUGACCGGCCACACUGGGACUGAGACACGGCCCAGACUCCUACGGGAGGCAGCAGUGGGGAAUAUUGCACAAUGGGCGCAAGCCUGAUGCAGCAACGCCGCGUGAGGGAUGACGGCCUUCGGGUUGUAAACCUCUUUUAGCAGGGAAGAAGCGAAAGUGACGGUACCUGCAGAAAAAGCGCCGGCUAACUACGUGCCAGCAGCCGCGGUAAUACGUAGGGCGCAAGCGUUAUCCGGAAUUAUUGGGCGUAAAGAGCUCGUAGGCGGUUUGUCGCGUCUGCUGUGAAAUCCGGAGGCUCAACCUCCGGCCUGCAGUGGGUACGGGCAGACUAGAGUGCGGUAGGGGGAGAUUGGGAAUUCCUGGUGUACCGGUUGGAAUGCCNCAGAUUUCAAGGAGGGAACCCCCAUUGGCCAAAGGCAGGAUCUUUGGGCNCCNUAACUUGACCCNUGAGGAACCCAAAGGGGUGGGGGACCAAACAGGCNUANAANNCCUUGGNAAGUCCNCCCCCUUAACNUUGGGAACUNNUUUUGGGGNUCCNUUCACGGAUUCCGUGNCCCAACUAAC